CUCGGCCCCAUGGAGCAGUCCAGGUGGCCGGACCUCCCACCGGACGUGCUGCGUGACAUCUCCGGCCGCCUUCGCCACGCCCUGGACUUCCUCCGUUUCCGCACCGUGUGCAGGUCGUGGCGCGACUCAUCGAAGCCCAUCUACUCCUUGCCGCCAUGGCUACUCGCCACGCCAGAGAAUGACUCUGUCCCGCUAAAGUUCAGGUGCGUCUUCUCCAAGUCUAGCUACCACGCGUCGCCACAGCCGUCGCCGACGUCCGGAGGCGGGAAGAGGAUCUGGCUGUCUACUCCCGAUGCAACUGCUAUCCGGUACAUCACUAUCGAACAUCUCCGCCCUAGCCUACAUGAUCCUCUCACCGGAGCAAUCACUCGCCUGCCUCUCUUGCCGCCUACUUACUGUGUCGAUGGGCAGUGGGAAGAGAAUAUCCUCAAAGGCGCUCUCUACAGCGACGCAACCACUUUUCUUUACGGUUUUUCGGUCAUUGAUGAUGGCCUAAGAACCAGGUUCAGGGCGGCGUUGUUGCUUCCUGGUGAAGCAAAGUGGAAGCUUGUGGAGAGGAACCUUGAGAAUACCGACAGGCCCAGCGAGUACCACUACGCACGACGUGGUGGCAAGGUCAUAGAGACUGACCCUGAUGACGAGUAUAUCCUGGUCAAUGUAGACGGAGAGUAUUGUGCGACGUACCGUGGCGGCAUGAUCCUGGUCACCGUUGAGCCUAGCCUCUGGCGAAUUAUCAUGCUAGAUGGCGGCAAUGAUGACGACGUGUUAGUCCCAACGGCGCGGGUGGAGGUGGAGGGGUCGUGGGCCUACUUGGUGGAACACUACGGCUACAUCCUAGAGUCCCGCGGAGAGCUUUUGUGGGUGUCGGUCCAGGUUGAGAUGUAUUUUACUUUUUGCCAGGAGUUUCGUGUUCUCCCACAUUCGGUGUCGGUGCAUGUGCUAGAGGAGGCCCCAGUGCCAGAGAAGGUACGAUGGGUGAGAAAGGACGGUCGUAGCCUGGCGGACCGCGUGCUAUUCUUGGGGUCGCCCAACAGUUUCAUAGUGGAUGCAUCCAUGUUAGGCAGCCAUGGAGGCUAUGCCUAUUUCAUCUACCACAAUGACGGUAAGAGGUCACCAGCAAUGCGUUAUGGAGUGAUUCGGUACAACCUCGUCGGUGAAGAGAUCGAUUUCUUGUGCAAG
rnacentral:rRNA from 1 species